UACAGAGGUCCCGAGCGUUGUUCGGAUUCAUUGGGCGAAAGGGUGCGUAGGCGGUCUGCUAAGUUUGAUGUGAAAUCCCGGGGCUCAACCCUGGAAUUGCAUUGAAUACUGGUGGACUAGAGUACUGGAGAGGAAACUGGAAUUUACGGUGUAGCGGUGAAAUGCGUAGAUAUCUGGAGGAACACCGGUGGCGAAGGCGGCAUCCUGGACCGGCAUUGACGCUGAGGCGCGAAAGCCAGGGGAGCAAACGGGG
rnacentral:rRNA from 1 species